CCUAGGUGGCUGCAGUGGGGAAUAUUGGACAAUGGGCGAAAGCCUGGUCCAGCCAUGCCGCGUGUGUGAAGAAGGCCUUCGGGUUGUAAAGCACUUUCAGUGGGGAAGAAAGCCUUGGGGCUAAUACCCUCGAGGAAGGACAUCACCCACAGAAGAAGCACCGGCUAACUCCGUGCCAGCAGCCGCGGUAAUACGGAGGGUGCGAGCGUUAAUCGGAAUUACUGGGCGUAAAGCGCGCGUAGGCGGUCUGAUAAGCCGGUUGUGAAAGCCCCGGGCUCAACCUGGGAACGGCAUCCGGAACUGUCAGGCUAGAGUGCAGGAGAGGAAGGUAGAAUUCCCGGUGUAGCGGUGAAAUGCGUAGAGAUCGGGAGGAAUACCAGUGGCGAAGGCGGCCUUCUGGACUGACACUGACGCUGAGGUGCGAAAGCGUGGGUAGCAAACAGGAUUAGAUACCCCAGUAGUC
rnacentral:rRNA from 1 species